GAGGGUAUAGCUCAGUGGUAGAGUGUGUGUUUAGCAUGCAUGAGGUCCUGGGUUCAAUUCCCAGUACCUCCA
rfam:Camelus ferus unplaced genomic scaffold scaffold513, whole genome shotgun sequence.